AGUGAACGCUGGCGGUAGGCCUAACACAUGCAAGUCGAACGGCAGCACAGUAAGAGCUUGCUCUUACGGGUGGCGAGUGGCGGACGGGUGAGGAAUACAUCGGAAUCUACUUUUUCGUGGGGGAUAACGUAGGGAAACUUACGCUACUACCGCAUACGACCUACGGGUGAAAGCAGGGGAUCUUCGGACCUUGCGCGAUUGAAUGAGCCGAUGUCGGAUUAGCUAGUUGGCGGGGUAAAGGCCCACCAAGGCGACGAUCCGUAGCUGGUCUGAGAGGAUGAUCAGACACACUGGAACUGAGACACGGUCCAGACUCCUACGGGAGGCAGCAGUGGGGAAUAUUGGACAAUGGGCGCAAGCCUGAUCCAGCCAUACCGCGUGGGUGAAGAAGGCCUUCGGGUUGUAAAGCCCUUUUGUUGGGAAAGAAAAGCAGCAGGUUAAUACCCCGCUGUUCUGACGGUACCCAAAGAAUAAGCACCGGCUAACUUCGUG
rnacentral:rRNA from 1 species